rnacentral:rRNA from 1 species
ACGGGUGCGUAACGCGUGGGAAUCUGCCCUUGGGUUCGGAAUAACAGUUAGAAAUGACUGCUAAUACCGGAUGAUGUCUUCGGACCAAAGAUUUAUCGCCCAAGGAUGAGCCCGCGUAAGAUUAGCUAGUUGGUGGGGUAAUGGCCCACCAAGGCGACGAUCUUUAGCUGGUCUGAGAGGAUGAUCAGCCACACUGGGACUGAGACACGGCCCAGACUCCCACGGGAGGCAGCAGUGGGGAAUAUUGGACAAUGGGCGAAAGCCUGAUCCAGCAAUGCCGCGUGAGUGAUGAAGGCCUUAGGGUUGUAAAGCUCUUUUACCAGGGAUGAUAAUGACAGUACCUGGAGAAUAAGCUCCGGCUAACUCCGUGCCAGCAGCCGCGGUAAUACGGAGGGAGCUAGCGUUGUUCGGAAUUACUGGGCGUAAAGCGUACGUAGGCGGUUAUUCAAGUCAGAGGUGAAAGCCCGGGGCUCAACCCCGGAACGGCCUUUGAAACUAGAUAGCUAGAGUCUUGGAGAGGUUAGUGGAAUUCCGAGUGUAGAGGUGAAAUUCGUAGA